GCGACCCCAGGAUGGGCGAGGCCACCCGCCGAGUUUAAGCAUAUCAAUAAGCGG
rnacentral:rRNA from 1 species